rnacentral:rRNA from 1 species
GAGAGMGCCGGCUAACUACGUGCCAGCAGCCGCGGUAAUACGUAGGGCGCAAGCGUUGUCCGGAAUUAUUGGGCGUAAAGAGCUCGUAGGUGGCUUGUUGCGUCUGCCGUGAAAUCCCGUGGCUUAACUGCGGGUCUGCGGUGGAUACGGGCAGGCUAGAGGCUGGUAGGGGCAAGCGGAAUUCCUGGUGUAGCGGUGAAAUGCGCAGAUAUCAGGAGGAACACCGGUGGCGAAGGCGGCUUGCUGGGCCAGUUCUGACGCUGAGGAGCGAAAGCGUGGGGAGCGAACAGGAUUAGAUACCCUGGUAGUCCACGCUGUAAACGUUGGGCGCUAGGUGUGGGGGUCUUCCAUGGUUCCUGUGCCGUAGCUAACGCAUUAAGCGCCCCGCCUGGGGAGUACGGCCGCAAGGCUAAAACUCAAAGGAAUUGACGGGGGCCCGCACAAGCGGCGGAGCAUGUUG